UGCAUGCUGCAGUCGACGAUUAGAGUUGAUCUGCUCAGAACUACGCUGCGCGUGCUAACACAUGCCAGUCGACGAGAAAGUUGCUCGCCGAUGAGUAAAGUGCGCACGGGUGAGUAACGCGUGGAUAAUCUGCCUUUAAGUUUGGAAUAACGUACCGAAAGGUGCGCUAAUACCGGAUAAUACUGAAUGACUACUGUUAUUUAGUCAAAGAAGGCUUCUGUUUACAUGCUUUUGCUGAAGGAUGAGUCCGCGUACCAUUAGCUAGUUGGUAGGGUAAUGGCCUACCAAGGCGACGAUGGUUAGCUGGUCUGAGAGGAUGAUCAGCCACACUGGAACUGAGACACGGUCCGGACUCCUACGGGAGGCAGCAGUGAGGAAUAUUGCGCAAUGGGGGAAACCCUGACGCAGCAACGCCGCGUGAGUGAGGAAGGUUUUCGGACCGUAAAGCUCUGUCGAGCGGGAAGAAAUGCAUGGUGGCUAAUAUCCAUCAUGCUUGACGGUACCGCUAAAGGAAGCACCGGCUAACUCCGUGCCAGCAGCCGCGGUAAUACGGGGGGUGCGAGCGUUGUUCGGAAUUAUUGGGCGUAAAGAGCGUGUAGGCGGCUGAAUAAGUCAGAUGUGAAAUCCCUGGGCUUAACCCAGGACGUGCAUUUGAAACUAUUCGGCUAGAGUAGGGGAGAGGAAAGUGGAAUUCCUGGUGUAGAGGUGAAAUUCGUAGAUAUCAGGAGGAACACCGGUGGCGAAGGCGACUUUCUGGCCCUAUACUGACGCUGAGACGCGAGAGCGUGGGUAGCAAACAGGAUUAGAUACCCUGGUAGUCCACGCUGUAAACGAUGUUCACUAGGUGUUGGGGGUAUUGACCCUCUCAGUGCCGCAGCUAACGCAUUAAGUGAACCGCCUGGGGAGUACGGUCGCAAGAUUAAAACUCAAAGGAAUUGACGG
rnacentral:rRNA from 1 species